CCCCAUCUCCGUUGAUCGAUGUGGGAUGUUACACCAGUAACUCUGCUUGAAACCGAUCGGUUGCAGGAUGCGAGCGACCGGUCGCAUGAGACUCAGCCUGAAAACGACCGGUCGUCACUUGGAAAUCCAAAUCUGCUUCAACACGACUGGUUGCUAGAGGACCAGUCGCCUCCCUGCUGUCAAACUCAGGAAAGAAAAUUGAGGAGUUUUUACCCGCUCCAGAAAAUUCUUUAUCUCCAGUACCACACCAAUCACAUGCUAAGGGCUUCAUUCAGGUAACAUAUUUUCUUGAAACUGAUAACAUUAAUGAAAUAUCCCAUGAUGAUUUAAUUUCAGAAGGCA
rnacentral:pre_miRNA from 1 species